AAAGGGUGCGUAGGCGGCCUGUUAAGUCAGGGGUGAAAGACGGUAGCUCAACUAUCGCAGUGCCCUUGAUACUGAUGGGCUUGAAUUGACUAGAGGUAGGCGGAAUGUGACAAGUAGCGGUGAAAUGCAUAGAUAUGUCACAGAACACCGAUUGCGAAGGCAGCUUACUAUGGUCUUAUUGACGCUGAGGCACGAAAGCGUGGGGAUCAAACAGGAUUAGAUACCCUGGU
rnacentral:rRNA from 1 species